CGACCCGAAAAGGUAGGUAUCGUCGGUAACUUUAGGUUUACCCUACCUGCCAUAAGUUCAGUACCAGAUACAGAGUCGGCCGACCCAGGGUGGUCCUUGCCCGGCUGCGCAGCGGUAAACCUGUUCACCAAUUCUCGCACGCUGCCAACUGUCGAGAAGUACUCAAUUUCAAACUUCUCACGAUACUGAUACUCCUUUUCACACUCAAUUUCUGAAAUAUUUGGAAAACUUUCUAUUUCAAUCUGUAAAACAUCAUAUUCACCAUACCACUCUUCUAUUUUAGAUAAUCUAAGGUUUAGAUCACUGAUUUAUGAUUUACUUGGCUUUUCACAAGUAGUUAUGGUCUCUAAGGCUAAGGACUCACGAAGCGGUUUUCACCCGUGCCCGCCGUGGUGGCGGAAUGGAGUUUUAUUUUCAAAACUCAUGAGACCGGAGUUUUGUGCGGUUACGCAGCCGUCGCGGUUGCGAUUAUCGCUCGCAAACGUGAUGGUUGAUAAUCGCAAGACGGGCGGUUAAACGAUCAGUUUAGUUCCAGACCGUCAUGGACACACACCAGAAACGAGCUGUUGCGUUAUACUUCCUUCACAGAAGAAUUAAAAAAAGAAGGCCUAAAAGGUUCUGGACACAUCCACUGAUUGCGGAAAGAGAUCGUUAUGGAUUAUUUGUUAUUCUUAUUAAUUACUUAAAGAAGGAUGAAGAAAAGUUCUUUAAUUAUUUUCGAAUGUCUGUAUGUAGUUAUUUAGAAUUUUUAAGAAAAACAGAAACUGCUCUUCAAAAACAACAUACUAAUAUGCGAGAUCCCAUAUCACCAGAGGAAAUGUUGGCAGUGACAUUAAGAUAUAUACCUAGCAAGUGGGACUUCAAUGCACGAUUUGCACUACACAUUCAGAAUUGGGCACACAACUAUAUCAACAAUUAUAAGAAUGACAUGUGAAAAAUUAUGGGAGGUGUUAAUGUUUGAAUGUUUUCCGGUAAUCACUACAGAACUUUUAGAAGAAAUCAGCCAAAAAUUUUACAAGUACGCAAAUUUUCCUAACUGUGUCGGAGCAAUAGACGGCAAACAUAUAAGAAUAAUUAAACCAGAUAACAGUGCUUCAACUUACUACAAUUAUAAGAUUUUUUUUUCAUUUGUGUUAAUGGCCGUAGUUUUUUUUUAUGCGGAUUACUGAUUUGUUUUUGUAGGCAUUGGAGUCCCGGGAAGUAAUGCUGAUUCAAUCAUUUUUUUAAAUACUACUCUUUGGAAUGCGUUUAAUAGCAAUUCUAUCAAACUACCUAAUAAAAAAUACUACCCGGAUCUACUUUGCCACCUGUCCCAUAUGUAUUCGUAGCCGAUGAGGCGUUUGGGUUGCAUCAAAAUAUUAUGAGACCUUAUGGUGGUCAAUUUUUGAGUGUACAAAAAAGGGUAUUUAAUUAUCGCCUAUCUAGAGCACGAAGAUACGUGAAUGUGCAUUUGGCAUUUUGUCAAACAAAUGGCGAAUUUUAAAUCGUGCAUUGGAUGUAUCAAUACCUUUAUCAAUUAAUAUUGUGAAGGCAUGUUGCAUACUUCACAAUUUUGUACGAAAACGAGACGGCCAUCAUAUUAGAGAAGAAGAUUUUACUCAUAAUCUUGAGAGUAUACAAAUACCUCCAUCAAUACGCAGUGGAAGACAAGCCAAUAACAUUAGAGAUGUUUUUCAACAAUAUUUUAUGAGUGACAGCGGAGCCUUAAGCUGGCAAUUGUCACAUAUUUAAUAAAGUUAAUUAUUGUACCUUAAAAAUAAACUCAUAUAAUACUUA